rnacentral:rRNA from 1 species
GACGGAGGAUGCAAGUGUUAUCCGGAAUCACUGGGCGUAAAGCGUCUGUAGGUGGUCAAAUAAGUCAACUGUUAAAUCUUGAGGCACAACCUCAAAAUCGCAGUCGAAACUAUUCGACUAGAGUAUAGUAGGGGUAAAGGGAAUUUCAGUGGAGCGGUGAAAUGCGUAGAGAUUGGAAAGAACACCGAUGGCGAAGGCACUUUACUGGGCUAUUACUAACACUGAGAGACGAAAGCUAGGGUAGCAAAUGGG